AUUGAACGCUGGCGGCAUGCUUUACACAUGCAAGUCGAACGGCAGCGCGGGCUUCGGCCUGGCGGCGAGUGGCGAACGGGUGAGUAAUGCAUCGGAACGUGCCCAGUAGUGGGGGAUAGCCCGGCGAAAGCCGGAUUAAUACCGCAUACGACCUGAGGGUGAAAGCGGGGGACCGAAAGGCCUCGCGCUAUUGGAGCGGCCGAUGUCGGGUUAGCUAGUUGGUGGGGUAAAGGCUUACCAAGGCGACGAUCCGUAGCUGGUCUGAGAGGACGACCGGCCACACUGGGACUGAGACACGGCCCAGACUCCUACGGGAGGCAGCAGUGGGGAAUUUUGGACAAUGGGGGCAACCCUGAUCCAGCCAUGCCGCGUGCGGGAAGAAGGCCUUCGGGUUGUAAACCGCUUUUGUUCGGGAAGAAAUCCUCUGGGCUAAUACCCCGGGGGGAUGACGGUACCGGAAGAAUAAGCACCGGCUAACUACGUG
rnacentral:rRNA from 1 species